rnacentral:rRNA from 1 species
AGAUUGAACGCUGGCGGCAGGCCUAACACAUGCAAGUCGAGCGGCAGCACGGGUACUUGUACCUGGUGGCGAGCGGCGGACGGGUGAGUAAUGCCUAGGAAUCUGCCUGAUAGUGGGGGAUAACGCUCGGAAACGGACGCUAAUACCGCAUACGUCCUACGGGAGAAAGCAGGGGACCUUCGGGCCUUGCGCUAUCAGAUGAGCCUAGGUCGGAUUAGCUAGUUGGUAGGGGUAAUGGCUCACCGAAGGCGACGAUCCGUAACUGGUC